rnacentral:rRNA from 1 species
GACGAACGCUGGCGGCGUGCUUAACACAUGCAAGUCGAGCGGUAAGGCCCUUCGGGGUACACGAGCGGCGAACGGGUGAGUAACACGUGGGUGACCUGCCUCUAGCUCUGGGAUAAGCCUGGGAAACUGGGUCUAAUACCGGAUAUGACUCCACGGCGCAUGUUGUGGGGUGGAAAGCCUUGUGUGGCUAGAGAUGGGCCCGCGGCCUAUCAGCUUGUUGGUGGGGUGAUGGCCUACCAAGGCGACGACGGGUAGCCGGCCUGAGAGGGCGACCGGCCACACUGGGACUGAGACACGGCCCAGACUCCUACGGGAGGCAGCAGUGGGGAAUCUUGCGCAAUGGGCGAAAGCCUGACGCAGCGACGCCGCGUGAGGGAUGACGGCC